rnacentral:lncRNA from 10 species
CAAGCUUGGGCCAGGCUUUUUGCCCCUCUGAACCUCAGUUCCCCUGUCUGCAAAGUGGAGUUAAUGGUGCUUACGGAGUUGUGGAAGGGAUUAAGUGGAAUAACGAUGCAAGUAAAGCGCUUACAUAGCACAGGUCCUAGCACAGAAUAAGCGUUUAACAGUUGACAGUUGUUGCUUUUCUAAGCCUGGAUCUGUGUGAUACAGUCGUUAUUAUCCAAGCCUGGAUUUGUGUGAUAUUGUCAUAAGGACCGUGGGGGAUUCAGAUCCUUGACCGAGCCCUCCUUGUUAUCUUUUCCUUUUUGUCCCUCUGCAUAUAUUCAUAUCUUUUUACUUAGCACCCCCCACAGACAGAUUUCUGCUGGGAGGGAGGGGACGAUGAAGAGAUGCCUAGGUGACAUCCCUGCCUUCCAGGCAGUUGUUCCUGACAGUCACUAGGAAUACAAAUACAGCCUGGCUGGGGAGACAGACAUGUAAACAGAUUUUAUAGCCAAUGCUACGAAGGCCAAGGGGCAUAACCACCAACUCUGCCAAAGAUAAGUGAUGUGAAAGCUUCAUAUUUGAGCCAGGUUGGGAAGGAUGAAUAAGUUUAACAGGUAGAAGGACAGAUAUGUGCAAAGAUUCAGAAGUAGUACAGGGAAUAGGACUGGGAGGAGAGAGCAGGAAUGGGUAAAUUGGGACUAGUUUACCUGAGGUGUUGACUACACUUUGGAAAAGUCCCGGCAACUGUCUGAAGAAUAGACUGGGCCGGGUGUGGUGGCUCAGGCCUGUAAUCCCAGCACUUUGGGAGGCUGAGGCCGGGCGGAUCACCUGAGGUCAAGAGUUCGAGACCAGCCUGGCCAAUAUGGGGAAACCCCAUCGCUACUAAAAAUACAAAAAUUAGCCAGGUGUGGUGGCAGGCACCUGUAAUCCCAGCUACUCAGGAAGCUGAGGCAGGAGAAUUGCUUGAACCUGGGAGGUGAAAGUUGCAGUGAGCCGAGACUGCGCCACUGCACUCCAGCCUUGGCGACAGAGUGAGAUUCCACCUCAAAAAAAAACAAAAACAAAGAAUAGACUGGAGACGGGCCGUUGGAGGUAGAAAAACUAGUGGAGAGACUAUUAAGAUAGUGGGAGGGACCAGAAAUUAUGAGACCUGAACUAAACUAGUAACAGUGAGGCUGGGCGUGGUGGCUCACGCCUGUAAUCCCAGACUUUGGGAGGCCUAGGCUGGUGGAUCACUUGAGGCCAGGAGUUUGAGACCAGCCUGGCCAACAUGGGGAAACCCCAUCUCUACUAAAAAUGCAAAAAUUAGCCAGGUAUGGUGGUGCAUUCCUGUAAUCCCAGCUACUCAGGAGGCUGAGGCAGGAGAAUCACCUGAACUGGGGAGGAGGAGGUUGCAGUGAGCCAAGAUUGUGCUACUGUACUCCAGCCUGGGCAACAGAGCAAGACCCUGUCUCAAAAUAAUAAAUAAACUAGUAACAGUGAGAAUGGAGAAAAGAUUUAGAGACUGUUUAUAAAACAGUUAGGACUUUGGAUCUGGAGAACUAAGAAUAAGAAGUAAUGGAUGAUGUGGUUUUUCUAGUUUGGAAGACCAGGUAGACCAUAAUGUCAUCAAUGGAAUUAGGGACUAGUUAAACACAAAGUAACUGGGAAGUAAGGUAGGGUAUGUGUUCAGG